rnacentral:tRNA from 1 species
AAAGUUUUAAGUUAAGUAUAAACUAUUAACCUUCAAAGUUAAAAAUAUAUAAUGUAUAAGCUUUA